rnacentral:sRNA from 1 species
GGCUAGAGUACGAAGGUUUUGGAGCAGAGGGACUUUAGAGCUGUGAUUUGAGUCGGGGGAUCGUUCGCAAAGUGUUUUCGAAAGGCUAGCUAAGGAGAAAACCGUAUGAUGAGCUUCAGAUAAAGAAAUAGUGGACAUGGUAUAUCUGUGACUCAGUUGCUUGAUGUCACAUAUUAUUGGAUUGUAAUGAAGAAAUUGGUGAUGGAGAUUGAUCCUCCGUGAGGUACACCUAGUCGCCCAUAUGCAAAAAAGUUUAUUAAUCCUUGGACAUGUUGGCCAAAAUGCAUGUCUCGAUUGUCAUUGUCUCUUGGAAUGGCGUAACGGAGAUAAAGAAGAAUCUCCUAUGAUAAGAUUUCUACUUGUCAAUAAUUCAUCAAUAAACAUAAUUUACCAAUAGAUUUUUGUUAUUACCAACAAAUAAUUGACCGUUAAUAAUAUGUGA